rnacentral:rRNA from 1 species
CNAGACNACCACGGGUAGCCGGCCUGAGAGGGCGACCGGCCACACUGGGACUGAGACACGGCCCAGACUCCUACGGGAGGCAGCAGUGGGGAAUAUUGCACAAUGGGGGAAACCCUGAUGCAGCGACGCAGCGUGCGGGAUGACGGCCUUCGGGUUGUAAACCGCUUUCAGCAGGGAAGAAGCCCNUNGGGGUGACGGUACCUGCAGAAGAAGUACCGGCUAACUACGUGCCAGCAGCCGCGGUAAUACAAA